GAGUUUGAUCCUGGCUCAGGACGAACGCUGGCGGCACGCCUAACACAUGCAAGUCGAACGGAGAUAUUUUGGUUUACUGAGAUAUCUUAGUGGCGGACGGGUGAGUAACACGUGAGCAACCUGCCUCUGAGAGAGGGAUAGCUUCUGGAAACGGAUGGUAAUACCUCAUAACAUAACGAAGCCGCAUGACUUUGUUAUCAAAGAUUUAUCACUCAGAGAUGGGCUCGCGUCUGAUUAGAUAGUUGGUGAGGUAACGGCUCACCAAGUCGACGAUCAGUAGCCGGACUGAGAGGUUGAACGGCCACAUUGGGACUGAGGCACGGCCCAGACUCCUACGGGAGGCAGCAGUGGGGAAUAUUGCACAAUGGGGGAAACCCUGAUGCAGCGAUGCCGCGUGGAGGAAGAAGGUUUUCGGAUUGUAAACUCCUGUCUUAAAGGACGAUAAUGACGGUACCUWGGAAGG
rnacentral:rRNA from 1 species